GGCAACAUGCUCAGGUCUCUUACCACGCUGUGGAAGCUUUGUUCUUUCGCUCUUUGCAAUGAAUCCUGCUGCUGCUCACUCUUUGGGUCCACACUGCCUUUAUGAGCUGUAACACUCACUGUGAAGGUCCGCAGCUUCCCUCCUGAGCCAGCGAGACCAGGAACCCACCAGAAGGAAGAAACUCAGAACACAUCCCAACAUCAGAAGGAACAAACUCCAGACGCGCCACCUUAAGAGCUGUAACACUCACCGCGAGGGUCUGCGGCUUCAUUCUUCAAGUCAGUGAGACCAAGAACCCACCAAUUCCGGACACACCAAGUCCUGAGUUCAGAAUUUUGUUUUUGAGAUGAACAUAAAAGCACCUAAAGGUCAAGGAAGAUGUUCUUCCUGUGAUAAGGAACACAAAGCCUGUUUGGUGGUCUCUUCACACGGAAGCGCAUGACACUUCGCUUUAGUGUAGAUGACCACUCCCCUCUGUAAGAGUCCAUUCUAAGUUGUUCUGUCAGUGAAACUCUGUUUAAAACAUGGCUUGUAUGAAGUUGUCAGGAAUCGGCUCUGACACUUGGAUGAUUCUUCAGCUGGCUAUAAAAUUCUAAAAUCAGAGUAACCGUGUAUUGACUUCCAACAUUCCACAUUUCCAAAGGUGUUUCCUGUGAUCUCUGGGAUCCUGAUCCGCACCACUCAACUUUGGCCUCCUAAACUUCAUCCUUGACCCCACCCCAGCUAUCAUAGUGUGAAAUUUCACAGCCAAAACUUCUGCAUCAGCUUCAUAAGGCAGGAAGCCUACAAAUUCCCCUCUUAUGUUUUGAGACUCAUCAACAAACCUCACCGAGACUCAUCAACAAAUCUCACCAACAUAGGACCUCUUGACCAGAAUUUAUCCAGCACUCCAGCACGGCUUGCACGUUAUCUGGAGUAAAGAGACCUUCUGGGAUUUCAUCAGCCUCCUGUCCAUCAAGAGUUCUUCCAGUUUUUGACUGACUGAAUUUUCAGUGAACUGUGUGUCUAACUGAAGCUUUGAGAGAGAGAGAGAGAGAAAGAAGGAAAAAAAGAAAAGGUUUUACUUCACUUGAACUUGUUAAAAAGGAAGAGACACAGAUCCAGCAUAGUAGAAGGAGAAAGAAAGCAGACAACAGUUUGGAAUGGAGGCAUUGAGACGGAAGAGUCCAUUGGAGAUGGAAUGUACACACAAAAAUAACAAUUUAGGUCCUUUGCUCAUGCAACAUCUUGUUCUAAUGUCCUCUGCUCCAGGUCACAACAUUGAGCUACAAAGUGUGUGCAGUGACUCCAGUCUGCAUUCAUGCUACAAGAUGAUCCGUUUAGUAAGACUGAGCAAGGCUUGUUAACCUCUUGGACGUGAGAGAUUUCCCCUGAGAAAAUAUAUAAAACAAGAGAAAAGAAAGAAAAUCAAGUACGAUCACUGAAAACCUGCUUAGUAGUAGCAACUAUUUACUGUAGCUGAUUUUUGUGCAAGGUCAACACUGAACCCUUUAAGUCCAUCUUAGUUCAAACCUCAUGACCAACCUGCCUUCCCCCCUCCCUCCCUCCACUGACACGUCAAACAAAACUAUCCUCCCUCCCUCCACCCUCCUACCCCUCCCAAAUCCUUCCUCCCCACUGCAAACAGACUGAUGGUUUCACAGCACAGAUUAGCAAAUCAUAAAACAUAUCCAUAAAUGCUCCAUCAAGGCUUAGCAAUGAAGCAACACCUAGGUUCCCAACUGAUUAUAAACAUGUUACAACAAAUCUUAGUAAGCUGCUCUGAAAGAUAAUGUGAGUGCAUUCUUGUUCAAUGGCUGAAAUUAAUGUCACAUUUAUAAAUAUCUAGAAAUGUAGAGGAUACGAUUUAAUUAAAUAAAAUGCAGUUUUUGAGGGUGUGAUUCAUGAAACUCAAGAUUGAGUCUGUUCCCUAUCUUACAUAAUAAUGGAUAAAAAGGUGCCAAUUAUAUAUCUGAAGAUAAAAGUCUA
rnacentral:lncRNA from 1 species